GAUUCUUCAUUGGGGGGCCCUUUUCUCUGCGUUCAAGCUCGUCAAGGCGAAACGUGAUCAGCCGGUCCCAGUUUCCUCCCUCAAAAAGGACCCCCGCCUUUCCAUCAGUGAUCCGCUGCACAAUACCGCAGUACAUGUAGAAUGGGUUGUUAGGAUUCUUAACAAUUGCGAUCAUUCCAGGCAUUAAAAGUGGCAAUUCUGGUGGUUUUGGCUUCUUUGUGGCAGCAAGUCUAGCAAUACUUACUGAAUCUGAAACUGACUGCCUUGCUGGAGGUGGGUUUUCCUCAACGAACUUUUUCAAUCCCUUUUCACCACCAGGAAACCCUCCAGUUAGCCCCAUCAGCUCCUUUUCAAAAGCAUCUUCUGGAACUGAGAUUGCCGUGCUGCC
rnacentral:lncRNA from 1 species